rnacentral:rRNA from 1 species
AUUGAACGCUGGCGGCAGGCCUAACACAUGCAAGUCGAACGGUAACAGGAAGCAGCUUGCUGCUUUGCUGACGAGUGGCGGACGGGUGAGACAUGUCUGGGAAACUGCCUGAUGGAGGGGGAUAACUACUGGAAACGGUAGCUAAUACCGCAUAACGUCGCCAGCCCAAAGAGGGGGACCUUCUGGCGUCUGGCCAUCGGAUGUGCGCAGAUGGGAUUAGCUAGUAGGUGGGGUAACGGCUCACCUAGUCGACGGUCCCUAGCUCGUGUGAGAGGGUGGUCAGCCGCCCUGGAACUGAGCCACGCACCAGACUCCUAAGGGAGGCAGCAGAGGGGAAUAUUGCGCGAUGGGGGCAAGCAUGACGCAGUCAGGCGGAGUGUAUGACGACGGCCUCCGGGUUGUAAAGUACGUUCACCGGGGAGGAAGGGAGUACAGUUAAUACCAUUGCUGAGUGACGUUACCGGGAGAAGAAGCACCGGCUAACUACGUG